UUGAAGAUGCAGUUUAGGCUGCACAAGAUUUAUUUCUUGACCCAAGGUGUUAUUACCUGGAAAGCUCAUGGUGCCAACUUGUGAGCGAUAUAUCCUCAGAAGUGGGGAAAAAAAGUGUUUUUACACGUAUGAUAUGAUUGAGGGUUGGCACUCAAUCUAUCUCUAAACCAUUUUUAAUGGCUUAUUUA
rnacentral:misc_RNA from 1 species